rnacentral:tRNA from 1 species
GAGGGUACAGCUCAGUGGCAGAGCACAUGCCUAGCAUGCACGAGGUCCUAGGUUCAAUCCCCAGUACCACCA